UACGGGGGGGGCAAGCGUUGUUCGGAAUUACUGGGCGUAAAGGGUUCGUAGGUGGCCCGCUAAGUCACACGUGAAAUCCCUCAGCUUAACUGGGGAACUGCAUUCGAUACUGCCGUGCUUGAGGACUGGAGAGGAGACUGGAAUUUACGGUGUAGCGGUGAAAUGCGUAGAUAUCGUAAGGAAGACCAGUGGCGAAGGCGGGUCUCUGGACAGUUCCUGACGCUGAGGCACGAAGGUCAGGGGAGCAAACGGG
rnacentral:rRNA from 1 species